rnacentral:rRNA from 1 species
UACAGAGGUCUCAAGCGUUGUUCGGAUUCAUUGGGCGUAAAGGGUGCGAGUAGGCGGCGCGGUAAGUCGGGUGUGAAAUCUCGGAGCUUAACUCCGAAACUGCAUUCGAUACUGCCGUGCUUGAGGACUGGAGAGGAGACUGGAAUUACGGUGUAGCUGGUGAAAUGCGUAGAUAAUCGUGAAGGAAGACCAGUGGCGAA